UACAGAGGUCUCAAGCGUUGUUCGGAUUCAUUGGGCGUAAAGGGUGCGUAGGUGGCGCCAUAAGUCAGGUGUGAAAUCUCGGGCUCAACCCCGAAACUGCACUUGAUACUGUGGUGCUGGAGUACUGGAGAGGAGAUUGGAAUUUACGGUGUAGCAGUGAAAUGCGUAGAUAUCGUAAGGAAGACCAGUGCGAAGGCGAAUCUCU
rnacentral:rRNA from 1 species